GAACGUGCCCUUUGCUACGGUAACAGUCCCGGGAAACUGGGUUUAAUACCGUAUACNCCCUUCGGGGGAAAGAUUCAUCGGCAAAGGAUCGGCCCGCGUUGGAUUAUGUAGUUGGUGGGGUAAUGGCCUACCUAGCCGACGAUCCAUACCUAGUUUGAGAGGAUGAUCAGCCACACUGGGACUGACACACAGCCCAAACUCCUACUGGAGGCAGCACUGGGGAAUCUUAAACAAUGGGGGCAACCCUGAUCUACCCAUGCCGCGUGAGUGAAAAAUGCCCUAGGGUUGUAAAGCUCUUUCAGCGGGGAACAUAAUGACGGUACCCGCCUAAGAAGCCCCGGCUAACUCCGUGCCAGCAGCCGCGGUAAUACGGAGGGGCUAGCGUUGUUCGGAAUUACUGGGCGUAAAGCGCGCGUANGCGGACUGGAAAGUUGGGGGUGAAAUCCCGGGGCUCAACCCCGGAACUGCCUCCAAAACUAUCAUUCUGGA
rnacentral:rRNA from 1 species